UACGUAGGGGGCAAGCGUUUGUCCGGAUUUAUUGGGCGUAAAGAGCGUGUAGGCGGCCUGAAAGGUCAGCUGUGAAAACUCGAGGCUCAACCUCGAGCUGUCGGUGGAAACCGUAAGGCUAGAGUCCGGAAGAGGAGAGUGGAAUUCCUGGUGUAGCGGUGAAAUGCGCAGAUAUCAGGAAGAACACCCGUGGCGGAAGGCGGCUCUCUGGGACGGUACUGACGCUGAGACGCGAAAAGCGUGGGGGAGCGAACAGG
rnacentral:rRNA from 1 species